CAGUCGCCGCGGUAAGACAGAGGAUGCAAGCGUUAUCCGGAAUGAUUGGGUGUAAAGCGUCUGUAGGUGGCUUUUCAAGUCCGCCGUCAAAUCCCAAGGCUCAACCCUGGACAGGCGGUGGAAACUACCAAGCUGGAGUACAGUAGGGGCAGAGGGAAUUUCCGGUGGAGUGGUGAAAUGCGUUGAGAUCGGAAAGAACACCAACGGCGAAAGCACUCUGCUAGGCCGACAUUGACACUGAGAGACGAAAGCUAGGGGAGCAAAUGGGAUUAGAUACCCCCGUAGUCCCUGUCUCUUAUAA
rnacentral:rRNA from 1 species